ensembl:lncRNA
UCUGCGGCUCAGCAUCUUCGUGAAGUGCCUAAAAAGGGCUUGAAAUAAUUCCUGGAGACGUGUUAGAUCCUGAAAGCUGAGAUAGUCUGGACUGAGCAAGCUGCAAGAGCCACCUUCACUCAGUUCAAGAACACUUCAGUGUUUCACAAGGAGCCAGUUACACCAAAACACUCCAAUUUCACAUCCUGGAUACAUGCAUGAGUUCUGGCUGUGGUAUGGCAGAGUUGCUCACAGACAGGCAGUUGGGUGCUGCCUCCCAGGGCCACUGAAGCAAAGCCCGCAGCAGAGGGGAUCUCCUCAGCAGCCCUUGACCACCAAAAGCUUCAGUGCUGCCUCACCCUCACAGCUCUGAAGAUGGUCUGAAAUGCUGCCUUAAAAGUAAAGACCACUGAGAUCACCUAGUCCAGCCAUCAACCCAUCCUCACCAUGCC